AGCUCGAGUUUCUCUUCAUUGUCGCAUAAAUCUUUCGCCUUUUACUAAAGAGUUCCGUGGAGGGAGCUUUUGCGAGUGACCUGUAUUUUUUUGGGGGCUCUGCUCACAGCAGAGCU
ensembl:snRNA U5 U5 spliceosomal RNA